GGACAGACAGAAUGACAGAUAGAUGGAGGAACGGACGGAUGGAAGAAAGGACAGACGGACAGACGGAUGUAUACAAUAAUACGUCCUGUCAAAAUUGUUACGGGCGUGUAAAAACGCAAUGAAAUGAAAAAAAAACCUCUUAAUUAAAGGUCAAUAAGUUUUAUUAGGAUAUCGGCCAAGUCGAUUUAUUUGUAUAUCUUCUUGACUUCCUAAGUCAUUUUUGCUAUAUGACUUUUAUAUAUAUGUUUGAAAAUAAUAGAUAUAAAUUGAUAAAAA
rnacentral:lncRNA from 1 species